UACGUAGGUGGCAAGCGUUGUCCGGAUUUACUGGGCGUAAAGAGCGCGCAGGCGGUCGUUCAAGUCGCGUGUGAAAGCUCCCGGCUCAACUGGGAGAGGUCCUUGGAUACUGGCGGACUUGAGGGAGGCAGAGGAAAGUGGAAUUCCUGGUGUAGCGGUGAAAUGCGCAGAUAUCAGGAGGAACACCCGUGGCGAAAGCGGCUCUCUGGGACGGUACUGACGCUGAGACGCGAAAGCGUGGGGAGCAAACAGG
rnacentral:rRNA from 1 species